CUCCAUCUGGAAAGAAUUGAGAAGAGCCUGGGUUGUCCCCUGUUCCCAUCCUGUCUUCCGCCUGAGCCCCUGCAGGGAGCCCCUCUGCCCCACCCCACUCUCCCUCCCAAUAAAGCAGACUCUCAGGAGAGACAUCGGACUUCACUCCGACUGGGAAAAAUGGAGGAACUCAUCUCUUAACUCAGGAGAGGCCAAGUCACCCUGCAGAAGAGCAUGUGGCAAGAAACAGCACGGUAGUCAUCUCUGGAAGCUUCAUCUUCCAUACGUAGCACCUGGUCUUCCCAGGUAAAAGAACUGUGCUCAUCGCAGGGGUGAGGGACAAGCACUGUCCCAGGAGUCAAACCAGCUCCGGACUGUCCUGUUCCACCCUGGAACUACCCGGCUGUCACCUACACUGAUAAAGUUGAUGCUAAGUCCCCAAGGCUGCUAGGAGCUCCCCACGUGCUUUAAGGAGCAUUCUAAGGACAGCAGGAGAUCACCCGCUGCUUUGUUCUGCUCUAACAAGCCUCUGCCAAGCGCUGGCUCACUCAUCCAUCCAACAACCAUUCGCCCAGGGCCCACUUGUGCCAUCCCAGAGAGAAACCCACACAGCAGGAGAUGCAGCGUUCCAUGGAAGACGUGGACAGUCACAGAACACUGCACAGCUAAUGAUCUAGGGAGAACCCACUGAUAUCAUCAUUUCUGCUGCUUCUCCGAUCUCACGUUUGUCACCUCUCCGACGUCAUGAGCGGGUCCUCUGGCAAGCCCAGGGGAUGCUCUUUGAAGACUCAUCCAGGACUUCUCUGUGGUCAGCACCGGAGACGUGCAGCUCCCCCCCACACACACCUUCACGUGGGAUUGACCAGACUAUCAGAGGGAGGCCAAUGGCCAGCCAGACGGCAUCGGUGACUUGUGAGGUCCAAGAUGAUCCAGGGACAGCCAUGGGCCCAACAAAGUGCAGUGACCUCCAUCUAAGUCGAGGGGAAAAGCCCAACUCGGAGAAUAUCUGCCAACCCGCUCUCCACCAGGCCCUGAGCUGGUUCCUGAAGGGAAAAGAACCUUCCCCAAGCAGGUCCCCGUCCUCAGGUGGGGCUCAAUCUAGUGGGAAUGUAUACUUAAUUCCAGUCCCUGACUUCCGGCGCCCAAGUUCUAAUCAAGAAAAAGCACAGUCAAUAAGAAGAUUAGCUAACGUUUAUUGAGGGCUUACUCAAUAUGCCAGGGUUUCCUGAGCAUUGUGAAAGCAUUGAAUUAUUUACUUACCACAGUAACCCUGGGUGGCAUGCUGGGGCCGGCUCCUAGCUGCUCACGAGAGCCAGUUGUUAAAUUUUCAGGAAUUUUACAAGCAGGGUGUUAAAUACAGCUAUUAUUUUAAAAAAAUUAAAUUACAUAAAGUCACAAUUAAAUAAAUCAUUGUAAAAAAACAAAAGUAAUAAAUUCUCAAGAGUUCAUCGCUUCCCAAUGAUCUCACCGCCUGCUAUUGUUCCCCGGGUCCUGAGGCCGUCAGCGUCAACCUCGUCUGCCUGGUGGAAACACUACACAAUGGUGGCCCCCCUGAGUGUCUCUUCCAGGAUCUGUGUCUGGUGACGUCAUGGUGGAAAUGGACAGAGGCGACAACCAGGGCUUGAUUUCUGUGUUGUGGUGGGUUUUCCUAGACGCAAGAAAAUAAUGGAGAAAAUACUUGUCAUCCAAUUC
ensembl:lincRNA